UACGGAGGAUGCGAGCGUUAUCCGGAUUUAUUGGGUUUAAAGGGUGCGUAGGCGGGAUGCCAAGUCAGCGGUAAAAAUGCGGUGCUCAACGCCGUCGAGCCGUUGAAACUGGCGUUCUUGAGUGGGCGAGAAGUAUGCGGAAUGCGUGGUGUAGCGGUGAAAUGCAUAGAUAUCACGCAGAACUCCGAUUGCGAAGGCAGCAUACCGGCGCCCUACCGACGCUGAGGCACGAAAGCGUGGGUAUCGAACAGG
rnacentral:rRNA from 1 species